UCUCUGGUAGUAUAGUGGUGAGUAUCCGCGCCUGUCACGUGCGAGACCGGGGUUCGAUUCCCCGCCAGAGAG
rfam:Strongyloides papillosus strain LIN genome assembly, scaffold: SPAL_scaffold0000058